rnacentral:rRNA from 1 species
ACGUAGGCGGAUCAGAAAGUAUGAGGUGAAAUCCCGGGGCUCAACCCCGGAACUGCCUUGUAAACUCCUGGUCUUGAGUUCGAGAGAGGUGAGUGGAAUUCCGAGUGUAGAGGUGAAAUUCGUAGAUAUUCGGAGGAACACCAGUGGCGAAGGCGGCUCACUGGCUCGAUACUGACGCUGAGGUGCGAAAGUGUGGGGAGCAAACAGGAUUAGAUACCCUGGUAGUCCACGCCGUAAACGAUGUCAACUAGCCGUUGGGACACUUGAUGUCUUAGUGGCGCAGCUAACGCGAUAAGUUGACCGCCUGGGGAGUACGGUCGCAAGAUUAAAACUCAAAUGAAUUGACGGGGGCCCGCACAAGCGGUGGAGCAUGUGGUUUAAUUCGAAGCAACGCGAAGAACCUUACCUACACUUGACAUCCAGAGAACUUUUUAGAGAUAGAUAGUUCCCUUCGGGGACGCAGUGACAGGUGCUGCAUGGCU